rnacentral:rRNA from 1 species
AGAGUUUGAUCAUGGCUCAGGACGAACGCUGGCGGCGUGCUUAACACAUGCAAGUCGAGCGAGAAAGCACCUUCGGGUGUGAGUACAGCGGCGAACGGGUGAGUAACACGUGGGCAACCUGCCCCAGAGACCGGGAUAACGUUCCGAAAGGGACGCUAAUACUGGAUGACGCGUGACCUGCCAAGUAGGUCGCGCCAAAUGGUAGCUUCGGCUUCUGUUCUGGGAUGGGCCCGCGCCGGAUUAGCUUGUUGGUGAGGUAAUGGCUCACCAAGGCGACGAUCCGUAGCUGGUCUGAGAGGACGAUCAGCCACACUGGGACUGAGACACGGCCCAGACUCCUACGGGAGGCAGCAGUGGGGAAUCUUGCGCAAUGGGCGAAAGCCUGACGCAGCAACGCCGCGUGAGCGAAGACGGCCUUCGGGUUGUAAAGCUCUGUCAGGAGGGACGAAGCCACUCAGGUGAAUAGCCGAGAGGGUGACGGUACCUCCAGAGGAAGCCCCGGCUAACUACGUGCCAGCAGCCGCGGUAAUACGUAGGGGGCAAGCGUUGUCCGGAAUCAUUGGGCGUAAAGCGCGUGUAGGCGGCCAUCCAAGUCCGAUGUGAAAGCUCGGGGCUCAACCCCGAGUCUGCAUUGGAAACUGUAUGGCUUGAGUCCGGAAGAGGAGACUGGAAUUCCUGGUGUAGCGGUGAAAUGCGCAGAUAUCAGGAAGAACACCGGUGGCGAAGGCGGGUCUCUGGGACGGUACUGACGCUGAGACGCGAAAGCGUGGGGAGCAAACAGGAUUAGAUACCCUAGUAGUCC